rnacentral:rRNA from 1 species
CCUACGGGAGGCAGCAGUGAGGAAUAUUGGUCAAUGGACGAGAGUCUGAACCAGCCCAGUAGCGUGAAGGAUGACUGCCCUAUGGGUUGUAAACUUCUUUUAUAAAGGAAUAAAACGAGGCACGUGUGCCUUUUUGCAUGUACUUUAUGAAUAAGGAUCGGCUAACUCCGUGCCAGCAGCCGCGGUAAUACGGAUGAUCCGAGCGUUAUCCGGAUUUAGUGGGUUUAAAGGGAGCGUAGAUGGGUUGUUAAGUCAGUUGUGAAAGUUUGCGGCUCAACCGUAAAAUUGCAAUUGAUACUGGCAGUCUUGAGUACAGUUGAGGUAGGCGGAAUUCGUGGUGUAGCGGUGAAAUGCUUAGAUAUCACGAAGAACCCCGAUUGCGAAGGCAGCUUACUAAACUGUGACUGACAUUGAUGCUCGAAAGUGUGGGUAUCAAACAGGAUUAGAUACCCUAGUAGUC